rnacentral:rRNA from 1 species
UAAUACGUAUGUCCCGAGCGUUAUCCGGAUUUAUUGGGCGUAAAGCGAGCGCAGACGGUUGAUUAAGUCUGAUGUGAAAGCCCGGAGCUCAACUCCGGAAUGGCAUUGGAAACUGGUUAACUUGAGUGUUGUAGAGGUAAGUGGAACUCCAUGUGUAGCGGUGGAAUGCGUAGAUAUAUGGAAGAACACCAGUGGCGAAGGCGGCUUACUGGACAACAACUGACGUUGAGGCUCGAAAGUGUGGGUAGCAAACAGGAUUAGAUACCCUGGUAGUCCACACCGUAAACGAUGAAUACUAGGUGUUAGGAGGUUUCCGCCUCUUAGUGCCGAAGCUAACGCAUUAAGUAUUCCGCCUGGGGAGUACGACCGCAAGGUUG